GCAUCUGUCGGGGGAUCCACACCAAACCUGGAGGAUCAGCCUUGGGAAUUCAAGUCCCGCCCUGUUUUGUGGACUUGGAAGAAGAUUUAACCCUGCAGCACUGCAAGACCUCAGCUCUGAGCGGUUCAUCAACACUGCCCCAAGCCAAGGGGGAUCUGCUUCCCAAGGGAUCCUGGCGUGGAACACACAAUUCCCUGUCCCCAUGUGCUCUGGGGAGAUGGGAUUCACUGCCCUGCUU